rnacentral:rRNA from 1 species
CCCGGGCCUUGUACACACCGCCCGUCACACCACGAGAGUUUGUAACACCCGAAGUCGGUGAGGUAACCGUAAGGAGCCAGCCGCCUAAGGUGGGAUAGAUGAUUGGGGUG